CGGAGGGUGCAAGCGUUGUCCGGAUUUAUUGGGUUUAAAGGGUGCGUAGGCGGCCUAAUAAGUCAGUGGUGAAAGCCUCCAGCUUAACUGGAGAACUGCCAUUGAUACUGUUAGGCUUGAGUAUACUUGAGGUAGGCGGAAUUGACAGUGUAGCGGUGAAAUGCAUAGAUAUUGUCAAGAACACCAAUUGCGAAGGCAGCUUACUAAAUUAUAACUGACGCUGAGGCACGAAAGUGUGGGUAUCAAACAGGAUUAGAUACCCUGGUAGUCCACACUGUAAACGAUGAUUACUCGCUGUUGGCGAUAAACUGCCAGCGGCCAAGCGAAAGCGUUAAGUAAUCCACCUGGGGAGUACGCCGGCAACGGUG
rnacentral:rRNA from 1 species